GACGAACGCUGGCGGCGUGCCUAAUACAUGCAAGUAGAACGCACAGUUUAUACCGUAGCUUGCUACACCAUAAACUGUGAGUUGCGAACGGGUGAGUAACGCGUAGGUAACCUGCCUGGUAGCGGGGGAUAACUAUUGGAAACGAUAGCUAAUACCGCAUAAUAUUGAUUAUUGCAUGAUAAUUGAUUGAAAGGUGCUAUUGCAUCACUACCAGAUGGACCUGCGUUGUAUUAGCUAGUAGGUGAGGUAACGGCUCACCUAGGCGACGAUACAUAGCCGACCUGAGAGGGUGAUCGGCCACACUGGGACUGAGACACGGCCCAGACUCCUACGGGAGGCAGCAGUAGGGAAUCUUCGGCAAUGGACGAAAGUCUGACCGAGCAACGCCGCGUGAGUGAAGAAGGUGUUCGGAUCGUAAAGCUCUGUUGUAAGAGAAGAACGGGUGUGAGAGUGGAAAGUUCACACUGUGACGGUAUCUUACCAGAAAGGGACGGCUAACUACGU
rnacentral:rRNA from 1 species